rnacentral:rRNA from 1 species
AGCAGCCGCGGUAAUUCCAGCUCCAAUAGCGUAUAUUAAAGUUGUUGCAGUUAAAAAGCUCGUAGUUGAAUUUCGGGGUCAGCAGGUUGGUCGUGCCACUGGUAUGUACUGGCUUUGCUGAUUCCUCCUUCUUGUAGAACCGUAAUGCCAUUAAUUUGGUGUUGCGGGGAAACAGGACUGUUACUUUGAAAAAUUAGAGUGUUUAAAGCAGGCUAACGCUUGAAUACAUUAGCAUGGAGUAAUGGAAUAGGACGAGCGAUCCUAUUUUGUUGGUUUCUAGGAUUGACGUAAUGAUUAAUAGGGAUAGUUGGGGGCAUUAGUAUUCAAUUGUCAGAGGUGAAAUUCUUGGAUUUAUUGAAGACUAACUACUGCGAAAGCAUUUGCCAAGGAUGUUUUCAUUAAUCAAGAACGAAAGUUAGGGGAUCGAAGACGAUCAGAUACCGUCGUAGUCUUAACCAUAAACUAUAGCCGACUAGGGAUCGGAUGAUGUUAAUUUAUAAUGACUCAUUCGCGCCUUAAC